AGAGCGCGUAGGCGGCUCGUUAAGUGUGAAGUGAAAUCUCCAGGGCUCAACCCGGAAACUGCUUCGCAUACUGGCGGGCUAGAGGAAUGCAGAGGUUUGUGGAAUGCCUGGUGUAGCGGUGAAAUGCGUUGAUAUCAGGAGGAACACCCAUGGCGAAGGCAGCAAACUGGGCAUUAUCUGACGCUGAGGCGCGAAAGCGUGGGUAGCAAACAGGAUUAGAUACCCUGGUAGUCCACGCCCUAAACGAUGGAUACUAGGCGUAAGAGGUAUCGACCCCUCUUGUGCCGCAGCUAACGCACUAAGUAUCCCGCCUGGGGAGUACGGCCGCAAGGUUGAAACUCAAAUGAAUUGACGGGGACCCGCACAAGCGGUGGAGCAUGUGGAUUAAUUCGAUACUAACCGAAGAACCUUACCCAGGUUUGACAUCGAUCGUAAGCCUAAGAGAUUAGGCCCUCCCCCACAAGGGGACGUGAAGACACUUGUUGCAUGGCUGUCGUCAGCUCGUGCCGUGAGGUGUACGGUUAAGUCCGCCAACGAGCGCAACCCUCGUCCUGUGUUACCAGCAUGAAAGAUGGGGGCUCACAGGAGACCGCCGGUGUAAGCCGGAGGAAGGUGGGGAUGACGUCAAGUCAGCAUGGCAGUUACGCCUGGGGCUUCACACAUGCUACAAUGGGCGAAACAAAGGGCAGCGAUACCGCGAGGUGGAGCCAAUCCCAAAAAUACGCCCUCAGUUCAGAUUGCAGUCUGCAACUCGACUGCAUGAAGUCGGAAUCGCUAGUAAACGCAGGUCAGCUAUACUGCGUUGAAUACGUUCCCGGGUCUUGUACACACCGCCCGUCAAGUCACCUGAAUUGUCUUCACCCGAAGUCCGUGGCUUAACCGCAAGGAAAGAGCGGCCGAAGGUGAGGGGGGUAAGGGGGACUAAGUCGUAACAAGGUAACC
rnacentral:rRNA from 1 species